rnacentral:tRNA from 1 species
GCGCCGUUAGCUCAAUUGGCAGAGCAGCGGACUCUUAAUCCGCGGGUUCGGGGUUCGACUCCCUGACGGCGCA